UACGGAGGGUGCAAGCGUUAUCCGGAUUCACUGGGUUUAAAGGGUGCGUAGGCGGGUUGGUAAGUCAGUGGUGAAAUCUCCGGGCUUAACCCGGAACUGCCGUUGAUACUAUAUAUCUUGAAUGCCGUGGAGGUAAGCGGAAUAUGUCAUGUAGCGGUGAAAUGCUUAGAUAAUGACAUAGAACACCUAUUGCGAAGGCAGCCUUAC
rnacentral:rRNA from 1 species